GAGACCCGGGAGAACCUCCUCCUCCCCGCCCCGCUCCGGGCCGUACCAUUCCUGAGAGGGCAGGGUGGGCAGCUCCCAGCCUCCUCUUCCCGGCUGGGCGCCCUCGCUCCGCCUGGCGGCUGCGGCUCGGCCUGUCUUUCGUCAACACCACUCUGACUCUCCUAAAUCUUGACCAGAGUGGAAGGGGUGCUUCGGGGCGUGCAUCUCCCCGUGUCCCCUCCCGCUACCCUCUGGCUUGUAAUAACAAUGGAGUUGCCCGCGGUCUGGAAAGCUGUGUUGGGUCUGAGUCGGCGGGCGAGGGGCGAGAGGGGUUGGGACGCCAAGGGUUAAGUGCCAGCCCCGGCAAUGGAAGGGAAGCGCGAGUUUGCCGCCUGGGUGGAAUUCUAGCCUCUCCGGGCGGCCACCAGCUCCCGCCGCCUGAGCUGCACUUGCUCCCUCGUCUGGCCCACGAGCAACAGGCUCUGAGGCCGGGCUCACCCCGGAGCUACUGCUCCUCCUGCCGCUGGUGUCUGGGUGCGUCUGGAACCCCUGCGAGUGGGCCGGUGCGUCCCGCCAGUGCGUGCUCUGUAGCCCGACAAAGCUCGGGAAUUGCAAUAAAUUCAACUAUUGGGCCAGGUCCAGGACUUCCUGUAUAAAGCAGGCAUCCUCUAACUUGAUAAAUAUGAGACUGGAACAAAAUUAAAAGGAAACAACAUCUGCUGGAAAGAGGAAUUAUUUAUUACUCUAAUUUCUUGCCAACAUUGAACUCUGAGGAAAUCCACUGAACGGAGAAAGCGAGCCAAUCCAGGAUUACAGUUUAGUAAUCCCCUGAAGAAAAAAUGGGGGAACACUAUGAAGAAAAGAUAUGAAGAAGGUGGUUCAUGACAAUUGUGAUCUAGUUCUCGAGACCAGCUACUGGGUGAAUGUCAGGACUCUCAAGAACUGAACUGGCCUCUGUGUCAACCAUAUGAUUCUUCUUCCAGGACAUAGAAAAGAAAGCUGACAAAAUCGAAACCUCGCAUGAAGUACUGUUUUUUUUUUUUUUUAAAUGUCAGCCAUCGGCUUUGAUGAAUCUAAAGAAGAAGGAAGCUUGUAUUUAAGGAAUUUCCAGAAAAAAAAAAUGGAGAAAACCAAUAUGGAUGCAAAAGGCUUAGGCUAAGGGUGACCAAGCAGCAAGGGGAAGAUAGACUGCGGGAAGGCACUUCAGUCCUGCUUUUGCGUCUUACCGGGCUCUGGGCAUUCAUUACCCGCUCCACAGCUACUGAAAAUCUGCAGCAACAGCACAGGCCUCCUGGAGUAGCUAUCAGGAGUGUCCCGUAACAGUUCCUAUCACGCACUGCUGGGCCAAAGAGAUGAAUCAAGCAGGUGUGGAAUGACCAUGCCUUUCUGGUUUUAUUCCCCUACGUCUUCCCCUUUCAAACCUCAGGACAGGUGGAUCACAAUAAGACUUCCUCUCCCCAAUUUCACUUCGUUGUAAGAGUUUCAAGGCCAGUCUCUGAAGAGAUCCUCUCUUCAGAGACUAGUCAGUGAGUCUGUGGUAUUCAGGCUGUCCCUGUGGUUGAACUCCCCUGCUCUUUUUUUUUUUUUUUUUUUUUUUAAGUCACCUAGAGCGACACAGAUUGGGGACUAGAGCCAGUACAUGUUAGCAGACAGUACAUGUUAGCAGACAGACUAGCUGAUAGCCCCAGGAAUAUACAAGCCCCCUCCCCCACAAUAAUGAUAAUAACUAGCUUCCCAGAGUUCAUGAAUGAUAGAUCAUGAAACAUUAUUCACCACACAAAUUAGAAGUAUGGGGACAAAUAAGUCAAGAAUUUAAAAGAAGCACACUAGGCACACUCCAGAUCUUCACAGAGAUCAGGGGGUGGUAUUUGUUUCCCAUUGCUGCUGUAAUAGCAAUUGAAUUGCAAGUAAAAUGCCAGUGAUCUUUGUGACUGAAAACAGCAUGUAUUUAUUCUCUUGAAAAUACCAGAGGUCAGAAUCAGAAUGAGUCUUAUGGGGUUAAAAAUGGAGGUGUCAGCAGGGAUAGUUCCUUCUAGAGGAACGAAAGGAGAAGCUAUUGCUUUUUUUCCCAGUUUCUGGAGGCCACUUACAUUCUGUGGACUAUGGUUCCUUCUUCUCUCCAUUUUCAAAGCUAGCAGGGAAGCAUCUUCUCUCUUCUCUAACUUCUACUUCCUUCAUAUAUAUGAGAAAUCUUGUGAUUUCUGGGUAAUCCAAAACAAUGUAAUAUCCCCAUGUCAAGAUAUUUAAGUCAACCACACCUGCAAACUUCCUUUGGCCAUGGAAUAGUGUCCUCUACCCAGAUGUUCCGACCCUAACCCCCAGUACCUGUGAAGAUGACUUUAUUUGAAAGUAGGAUCUUUUCAGAUAUGAUCAAGUUAAGAUGAGGUCAUACUGGAUUAGAGUCAGCCUUACUCCUGUAACCAAUGUCCUUGUAAGAUGAAGGAAAUUUUAAUAUAGACACAGACACACAGGGAGAAUGCCACUUGAUCACAUAGGUAAAUUAGAAUGAUGUGUCUUGAAGCCAAAGAAUUUCAAGGAUCACAGGCAACACCAGAAACUAAAAGAAAGAUGUGGGACAGACUCUCUCCUUGAGCCUGCGGAGGGAACAUGCCCUACCAGCACCUUGAUUUUAGAUAUCUAGCCUCCAGAACUGUGAGAAAAUACUUUUCCGUUGUUUUAAGCCAUCCAGGUUGUGCUACUUUGUUAUGGAAGCCUGAGGAAAUUAAUUCACCUUGUAAGGGAAUAUAGUCACAGGUUCUAGGGACUGGGAUAUGGACAUCAUUAGGAGAGCCAACAUUCAGCCUACCAUAGGAGUAUGUUAGUAACACAAAUUAACAAUGACAAAACCAAAAAGAACCAAGUAGGAAUAUUAGAAAUGAAAAAGAGUUAUAUAAAGAACUCAUUAGAUGCAAUAAAUAGUGGGAUAACCAGAGCCAAAGACGGACGUUGUGAGCCUGAGAAGACUGGGCUCAGGAAAUCUUUCAGAAGGGGAGUAAACAAUGAAGGAAAAGAAUAUAGAGAAUAGAACUAGGAGUCACCAAAUUUGGAUAACAGGAUAUCCCAGAAGAGGCAGAAGGAACAGAGAGGGCAAAAUAAUUAUAAAUAUUUCAACAUUGAAGAAAGUUGUAAGAUUUUAGAUUAAAAGGACUCAAAGUUGCCAUACAGAAUAGAUAAAGAAAAACCCAUGCUUUAGACACAUGAUAUCAAAAGUUAACUCUAUUAAUACAGAGAGAAAAUUCUAAAAGGCGAUAGAGAAAGAGCAGAUCCACUAGAAUAGAAAUCUGAAGGAAAGGAGAAAAAGAUACUUGGGGAAAGUACAAUCUCUGGAAAAUAUGAGAAAGUCCCAAUAUAAUAAUUUUAAUAAAUAUAAACUGCUCAUCUCACCAGUUAAAAGAUUGAAGCUUAGAUGAUAUUUUAAAAAAUAAAACACAAAAAAUCAGCAGUGCACUGUUUAGAUUCAGUUCAGGUAAAAGGACACAGGCAAUUUGAAAAUAAAAGGAUACAAACUCAUAUUGGCCACUACAAACCAAAUGAGAGUGGCCAUCUUAAUAUCUGACUCUUAAUAUUAAAGUGUUAAUAUUUGAUACAUCAAAGCAAAAAAUGUUAUAUAGGAAAAAGGGUGAUGGUGAUAUAUAUAUACUGGUAAAAUAAUAGAGCCAGGAGAUAUAAGGAACAGGAAUACACAUGCUUUAACAAGAUAGCCUCAAAGUAUACAAAGCUGCAAUGGCAUAAUGGUAGAGGGAAAUAGACUUACUAAUAUAUGUUGCAAGAGAUUUUAACAUACUUUCCUCAGAAAUUGAUAAAUAAAUCAGACAAACAUUAACAGAGACAAAAAAGUAAUAUAAUA